UCCGUUCUCUCCCUCUCACUUCCUUUGCUGCUCCUCGCGUCUCUGCCCGGUGAGCUCCUUGCGUCCCUACGACUUGCUUCCACUUCGUCGCACGCUACUUCACGCCCUCCAGCCCGGCGAGCUCCUCCCAUCCCUACGGCUUCCCUUGCACGCACGUUGGUCCCCUUCUUCCCUCCGUACAGUCUUCCAAUGUGGCUUCGGUGAUGGCCAUCCGUGCCUCCUGCUCCUUCAUGUGUUCUGCUCCUCUUUGGGCUGCAAUUGCUAAUUUCAAGGUCACUUCUAGGUGCAAGGUAAAGGAUCCGUUGGUUCUGUGUGCUGCUAAGUAGGAUCUGAAGUUGUUGCAGCAUCAUGUUGCAAGUCCUGGUCACUUUCAGGGCAAUUCUUAUGACAUAGUAAUUGCUUUCCAAUGGAUCAAUCAGUGAUGAGCAAAGAAAGAACGUGCUCCGCAAUUCAUUUCCAGGUGCAGGUGCAGGUGCAUGUGGUAUGUACACAGCUAACAUGAUGUCAUCGGUUAUCAAGGCCAUUGGCAUGAGCCUUCCAUACAGUUCUUCAACUCCUGCUAAAGACCCACUAAAACUUGAGGAAUGCCGCCUUUCUGGGAAGUAUCUUUUAGAAUUGCUAAAGAUAGACUUCAAGCCUAGGAACAUUAUCACCAAUAAGUCAUUGCGGAAUGCAAUGGUUAUUGUCAUGGCUCUUGGUGGGUCAACUAAUGAGUUGGUUGUUGCCUAAUUGUAUCACAUCUACUUAUUUUAUUAGUACACCAAAGCUUAUUUGUUACUCAUUAUGAUCUUAAAAUUACAUUUCAAUUGUUUAGAUGCAUUUGUGCAAAUGAAAAAGGCUGAUUAACUUGCCACUGAUGCUGCAAGGGAAAAAAAUAAUUUGAUUCCAUCUACAACAUCUCCAUCAUGGUAAGGUCCUUUUGCUCCUUGCGUUCCCUUGACUAUGUUGCACACUAGAGUAUUAUAUGUUCCUGAUUGUUUUUUAUUUUAGGAAAUUUCUAUAUAGUUCAUCCUGCUGUGUGUCAAUUCAUUUAUCUUAUCUUCUAUUCUGAACAUACAAUGUCAGGGAUUAGUUUUACUCAAAUUUAAGCAAUACUUAUACUGAGGAGUUAUAUUAUUAUCUAAUUAAAUACUUAAAAGUUCUAAAAAAGUCCUAUCCUAUAGUAAUAAUGUGGAACAA